rnacentral:rRNA from 1 species
CCUACGGGAGGCAGCAGUGGGGGAUAUUGCACAAUGGGGGAAACCCUGAUGCAGCGACGCCGCGUGAGUGAAGAAGUAUUUCGGUAUGUAAAGCUCUAUCAGCAGGGAAGAAAAUGACAGUACCUGACCAAGAAGCCCCGGCUAACUACGUGCCAGCAGCCGCGGUAAUACGUAGGGGGCAAGCGUUAUCCGGAUUUACUGGGUGUAAAGGGAGCGUAGACGGUUAUGUAAGUCUGGAGUGAAAGCCCGGGGCUCAACCCUGGGACUGCUUUGGAAACUGUGGAGCUAGAGUGCUGGAGAGGUAAGUGGAAUUCCUGGUGUAGCGGUGAAAUGCGUAGAUAUUAGGAGGAACACCAGUGGCGAAGGCGGCUUACUGGACAGUAACUGACGUUGAGGCUCGAAAGCGUGGGGAGCAAACAGGAUUAGAUACCCGGGUAGUC